AAAUCCUCGUGCAAGGAUUGUCCUCGUGCAAGGCCUGAUACUCGUGCAAGGCCCAAAUCCUCGUGCAAGGCCCAAAUCCUCGUUCAAGGCCCGAUACUCGUGCAAGGCCCAAAUCCUCGUGCAAGGCCCAAAUCCUCGUGCAAGGCCCAAAUCCUCGUGCAAGGUUCGAUGCUCGUGCAAGGAUUGUCCUCAUGCAAGGCCCGAUCCUCGUUCAAGGCCCGAUCCUCGUUCAAGGCCCGAUCCUCGUGCAAGGCCUGAUACUCGUGCAAGGCCCAAAUCCUUGUGAAAGGCCCAAUCCUCGUGCAAGGCCCAAAUCCUCGUGCAAGGCCCAAAUCCU
ensembl:lncRNA